UACAGAGGGUGCGAGCGUUAAUCGGAGUUACUGGGCGUAAAGGGCGCGUAGGCGGUUAGACAAGUGAGGUGUGAAAUCCCUGGGCUUAACCUAGGAAUUGCACUUCAAACUGUAGAGCUAGAGUGCAGUAGAGGGUGGUGGAAUUUCCGGUGUAGCGGUGAAAUGCGUAGAGAUCGGAAGGAACAUCAGUGGCGAAGGCGGCCACCUGGACUGUAACUGACGCUGAGGCGCGAGAGCGUGGGGAGCAAACAGG
rnacentral:rRNA from 1 species